rnacentral:piRNA from 1 species
UAGAAAAAUUUGCAAUUGAAG